rnacentral:rRNA from 1 species
GACGAACGCUGGCGGCGUGCUUAACACAUGCAAGUCGAACGGGAUCCGGGCUUUCGGGUUUGGUGAGAGUGGCGAACGGGUGAGUAACACGUGAGUAACCUGCCCCCUUCUUUGGGAUAACGUCGGGAAAUCGGCGCUAAUACUGGAUAUUCUUGCUGCAUCGCAUGGUGUGGUUUGGAAAGGGUUUCUGGUGGGGGAUGGGCUCGCGGCCUAUCAGCUUGUUGGUGGGGUGAUGGCCUACCAAGGCUUUGACGGGUAGCCGGCCUGAGAGGGUGUCCGGCCACACUGGGACUGAGACACGGCCCAGACUCCUACGGGAGGCAGCAGUGGGGAAUAUUGCACAAUGGGCGCAAGCCUGAUGCAGCGACGCCGCGUGAGGGAUGACGGCCUUCGGGUUGUAAACCCCUUUCAGUAUGGAACAAGGAUCCUUCGUUUGGGGGGUUUGAGGGUACGUGCAGAAGAAGCGCCGGCUAACUACGUG